rnacentral:rRNA from 1 species
UACGAGGGGGGCGAGCGUUGUUCGGAAUUAUUGGGCGUAAAGGGUGCGUAGGCGGUCGCGCAGGUCGGUUGUGAAAUCUCAGGGCUCAACCCUGAAACUGCAUUCGAUACUGCGUGGCUAGAGUGCUGGAGAGGAGACUGGAAUUUACGGUGUAGCAGUGAAAUGCGUAGAUAUCGUAAGGAAGACCAGUGGCGAAGGCGAGUCUCUGGACAGAAACUGACGCUGAGGCACGAAGGCCAGGGGAGCAAACGGG